CUUGGCGACCAUAGCGUUUUGGACCCACCUGACUCCAUUCCGAACUCAGAAGUGAAACGAAAUAGCGCCGAUGGUAGUGUGGG
rnacentral:rRNA from 1 species